CUCUCCAGUGUGUAUUCUUUGAUGAACUUGAAGAUCUGAGCCAUUGGUAAAGGACUUGCCACAUACUUUACAAGUGUAAGGUUUCUCUCCAGUGUGUAUUCUUUGAUGCACUUGAAGGUGUGACCUCUGUUUAAAGAAUUUUCCACAAUCUGAACAUUUGUAAGGUUUCUCUCCAGUAUGUAUUCUUUGAUGAGCUUGAAGAUCUGUGCCAUUUGUAAAGGACUUCCCACAUCCUUUACAAGUAUAAACUGAGAACUUCCUUAUGUGUAAUUCCCCAGGGCUAUUAUUUCCUAAACAUCCUGGCAUUUCUCUCUGACAAGUAU
rnacentral:lncRNA from 1 species